GGGAAAGUCGUGCGGGGCCGUAGCGGUCCCUCUAGAAAUUCGGGAGGUCCUCUCUGUGUCUCUGGCCCUUGAGACAUCAGGGAAGCGCUGAGUCGACCCCCAAAAUGAAAAGCCAGGGACUCCUUCUGUUUUUACCAAAGACGGUCAGACCAGAUGAAGGCUUCGGCGGUUCUCCCACCCAACCCCGACGCCCCGGGGCAGUGAGGGCAUGGGCUGAGGCAGCCACCUCGGUCACCCUCGUGGACUUCAGAGCCCAAGGACUUGAUGAAGAUGUCUUUUCCCGCCUUUUCCUCUGGCUACUCCGGCUCAGCUGCAGGUUUCUGGAUUGAAGAUUCUGUAUUUUCGACCUCAGCACGACUCCGUCUGGCCCCCAGAAGCAGAAGACAUGUACAGCAUGUUGGAAAGCUGUGAAGACAUUUGCUAAAGAAAUUGAAAGAAAAAAGGAAUGAAAGUGGAAUGGUGGAGUUAAACGUAAUGAAAAGAAAUUAUUCAACGCUACUUGUUAAAGCAUGGUUUUGGCCUUGCCCGCCAGGCUGGAGUAGAAACAAAUACCCAACAACCUGAGGAUUUGACUUCUCUUCCUGGCAAAGCUGUUUCCGCAGGGCUGUCCUAGCCUUGGAUAGGACCCUUGUCCUACUCGAGUGGCGAUGACUACCUACACAGCUCACAAUCUCCUGUGUGUGAAACAGUCUCCUGCCAUCAGCUUCUAGGUAGCCAGUUG